rnacentral:misc_RNA from 1 species
GAUGAAGAACGCAGCGAAAUGCGAUAAGUAAUGUGAAUUGCAGAAUUCAGUGAAUCAUCGAAUCUUUGAACGCACAUUGCGCCCGCCAGUAUUCUGGCGAGCAUGCCUGUUCGAGCGUCAUUUCAACCAUCAAGCCCCAGGCUUGUGUUGGAGCCCUGCGGCUGCCGCAGCCUCCCAAAACCAGUGGCGGGCUCGCUAUCACACCGAGUGCAGUAGUUUACUCUUCGCUCAGGGCGUGUGGCGGGUGCUAGCCGUGAAACCCCCAACUUCUCAAGGUUGACCUCGGAUCAGGUAGGAAUACCCGCUGAACUUAAGCAUAUCAAUAGGCGGAGGA